rnacentral:misc_RNA from 1 species
GUAAAGAAAGAGACAAGGGAAUCGAAUGGGCGAGAAAACUUCUAAAGCCAACUGUGGAGAAACCAAAAGUAAAUUAUUAGAUGAAGUGAAUAUAAUAUAAGGAUAAACUAAGCCAACCAUCCUUCAAAUUAAUCUCUGCAGUUCCAUUUGUCCUUUCUUCACUAUCCCUUCGAUCCUUAUACCAUCUUGGUCUUGGGUUCAUCGAUCAUGAAUGUUUCCUGAUCAAUAUCUUCUUUCCCAUUAUUGGUAAAUUCUUGAAACUACACUGUCGC